AAUGCUAGUUAAUAUAAACAGGAACUUAUUCAUUGGGGGGAAGGAAACAAGGGGAACCUUUUGGCCUAUUGACUGUUUCCAGAGGAGAAAGCAACAACAGGGUCUUGACUGUAAGGACUGCCAUUCAGGAUUCAGUUCAAGUGGCAUUGGAACACUGCUGACAGGGCUGGAGCCUAUUAUAACUCUGAGGGAAAAUGACAUAGGCUUUGCCAUGAUGGGACAUCAUUAUGGGUUAAUACAGCAAGGUAGUGUAUUUGUGUGUGUGUGUGUGUUAGUGGCAGUUUUGUUUGUUUUUUUUUAGGAUUUUGUCUGCUUAAUGUGUAUGAAUGUUGUACCUGCAUGUAUGUCCGUGCGUCGUGACUGUGCCUAGUGCCCUUGGACUGAAGUUACUGAUAGUUGUGAGCCACAGUGUGGGUGCUGGUCCUCUAGAAGAGCACAAAGUGCUCUUACCUACUGAGCCACCUCUCCAGUCCCAUACUCUGAAUAAGCUACAUAAAGUUUACUAAAGGCUUGAUUAGAUUCUUUCUACCUUCAUUGCUUUUCCAAUUUAUUCCUGGUUUAUAGUUGGUUAUUUUUAACGUGUUUGUUUAUUAUUGUUGUGCAUGUGUACGCGCAUGUGCAUGAGUGUGGACACGUAUGUGCCAUAUGGAGUUCAGAGUACAACUCUCAGGAGUCGGCUCCCCCUUAGGCUUGCACAGAAUGUGACAGAAGAAUUCUAGAAGUCCCCGUGCCUAAAGGCUGCUGGCCUGGCUAUUGCAUAUUUCACGUAAGCCCCACCUCUUUGACAGUAUUAAUGCUGACCCUGGCAGCAGUGAGAACAGGCUGGAGGGGCUUCCACAGGUAUGCAGUUAGCAGCUGGAGAUGACCAGAGUGGAAGGAAUGGAGCAAGCAGACAAUGUCCUCAAACCACAUUACACCCCUCGUUUGCAGGGGACGUUUGGCCUGGCUAUUUGCAACUGGUUAUUCUGUUGGAGGCAGGGCCUCCUCCUUCAACCCAAGACAUUCAUGUUAAAUACAUGAGUAUAAUCGAGAAAUUCAUUGUCUCAAAGUUGAUAGAGCAUUUAGUAAUCAAGCUUCUCUCUUGGAAGACACCUACUGCUUCCCAAGUUGUCCCUACCUUGUAACAAUGGAUAGCCACAGGGCUCUCUGCUGGUUUAGAGUUCCUAGAACGAUGACUUUGUGACCUGCACUUGUUCCUGGUGACAUCCAGCCACUGUACUGUAUGCUCUGAUGCCGUCCCUGCCUUCUAGACAUCCAUGCUGAAGCCAGAAUAGAGGGUAAAAGUUGUUUCUGAAAUGAGAAAGCACAUGGGGUCGGGACAGGCAUAGGGAGCUCCUGACCCACCCCCAACACAAAGCACUGUGGGUCUGUAGUGCAGCUCUGAAGAAAGACAAGGAGAGAGGCUGUGGGCUUUGAGACAGGUUUUUCUUACAACAGCCAGCCUGGGAGGUUGAUUAAGCCAAGAGGCACCCCAUGGGGGACAUUUGGUGUCCUAAAUGCAGCUGAGCAGGCCCUGGAUGCUCCCAGGUAGAGAGAGCUGGAGAUGUUUGUAAUAAAGUGACCCCUCCUGCACCCUUAGGCUACUGAGACCUUGGAAAGUCAACUGUAUGCUAGAUUAAAGUCUCCAUAUGCAAUAGUUGGAUUAACGAUGCAUUUUAUUGAGAUGCUAUUUCUUAAAUUCAAAACUGAUAGUCUUUUUUUUUUCUUUUGAAAAGCAGGGUCUCAUUUAGCCCAGACUAGCCUUGAACUAACUUUCUUUCUUUUCUUUUCUUUUCUUUUCUUUUCUUUUCUUUUCUUUUCUUUUCUCUUCUCUUCUUUUCUUUUCUUUUCUUUUCUGUUCUCUUCUUUUCUUUUCCGUUUUCUUCUAUUUUUAUUGAUUGACACCUUUUCAAGUAAAUUCACCUGGGCCUUAUCAUAGCCUAGAAAACUCUUCUCCUCGUCUGUCAUACAAAUACUUUCAACCUCAAUACGUUCAGGGAGUUACAGAGCUCUCCGUGUUGGUAUGCUAGAGUACACAGUUUUUAAAAAACUGUGAUCACUGGAGCUGGCUCUUUCCUAUAAUUUAUAAAGACAAGACUGGUGGCAGGAAGUGAUCUGUAACAGCCCUUGUCGACCACACCAAGCACCAUUCUUGAGUAGGUAGAGAGUUGCUCCCAGCACUGCUUCAAGAACUUCCUGGGCCAGGUUUUCUUCCUCUUCAGCUUCUAGGAAGCUAUGUUGUCAGUUCUUUAAUUAAACCUUGCAUUUUUGGUCUAUUUUUCACCAUUACAACCAUCUUUUAUCUUUAUUAUAUUUUUAAGGUCUAGGUAAAGAAUUUCCUAAACGAUUUACGUACACAUUUUUGUUGUGUCAUGGACUCACACCCCUCAGAAAAGCUUUUCAUCUCUGCUAACAGAAUUCUGGCUAAGAUCAGCCCACUGAAGGCUUCAGUAGAAACAGAGCAGACUGAGGACUCACUGUGCGUUAGCCCUGAGUUUCACAGUCUGAUGUCAUUAUCUUUUGCUUGUUAACACUUUAAGAAUAUGUCACAGCAGAACAACAUGGAGAAACCCUUUGGUAACAGCUUGUCUAGCUAGCUGGAGCUGGUUUGGAGGAGGGAGAAGGAUCUCCAGCUCAAACCAUUUAUCUUGAGGACUGCAAAGGUAAAGAGGGAGUCACAGGGGUCAGAUGUCAUCAGGGAAGCCUGCAAUUCAGACUUGGAGUUUGAGAACCAGGCAGCAAUGGUUGGGUGUCAGGGAGAGAAAGCCAUCAGUAUGAAUGUAUGUUACCAUUUGAAUAUGAAGGGCCUUCCACACGCAUAUGUCUUUGUCUGUGUGUCUUAGGUCUUUGUUUUGUGUUACUUGUGACUUGGACAAUGGGAAGAUUCUGGUUGGGAAGGAGGAGUGAUGUGGAAUCUGCUCCCCUACAUCUGUCUUUGGUGAGCUCAUGGAAGCUGCCAUCUGAAUCAGUUCGGUUUUGUGGCAAUCUUGCGGCAGCCCUCAUUUUUUGUUUUUGUGCGCACUUUUGUGUUUUUUGUCUGUUAAUCUUUUGAUUGUCUUUCUGUGUGACUGAAUGCUAUUUGUGCUCUUCAGUGGACCUCUAUUUUCUGAACUCUCUUCUUGUUUUCUCACCAUCCCACUUGAGAUGCUUGUUAAUAGCUGUUACAGGAAAUCGAUAAUGCUCACUUGAGGAGUGUGCUUUAGAAACAAGGAUUUCAUGUUUGCCCUAGGUUCCAUCGGGAUACGUGUGGGGAUAGGCUUGACUUCUAUUGCAAAUGAUGUAACAUUGCAUAUGUUAGUACUCCUAACACUUCUUGGUUCUGUGCCUCAGGGAUCACAAUCUGUAUAAGUUUAGAAGUUCUAAAAGACAGUCAUGACCUUGGUGUAUAGGUUCAUAUAGUGUCCAGAUUGAAAUCCUGAUGCUAAAGACUUAGUAAGACACAAAAGAGAGUUGAGAAUUACUUAGGGCUAUCUUAAGGCUGAGUCUAGGUACUGCAAGGGCAGCUACAAGGACAUCUGCUGUUGCCCUGCAACACAAGGCUUAUGGAGAAUUCAGAACUGCCAUUGACUUAGAUAUAAAAAGAGUAAAAAAGACUUUUUAGCUGACUUCCAAGAAUCCCUAACCUUCAUCUCAGAGGUAGUCCUUCAGAAUAAGAGAUUAGACCUGAUAUUCCCUAAAGAAGGAGGUCUGUGUGCUACACUAAAAGAAGAAUGUUGCUUUUAUGUAGACCAUUCAGGAGUAACUAAAGACUCCAUGACUAAACUUAAAAAAAGGUUAGACAAAAGACAGAGAGACAGAGACCAUCAGGGAUGGUUCAAGAGCUGGUUUAGUAGAUCUCCUUGGAUGACUACUCUGAUAUCUUCCCUUAUGGGACCCUUCUUAAUUUUGCUUUUGUUUCUUAUUUUAAGUCCAUGUGUGUUAAAUAAGCUAGUUACCUUCAUUAGAGAAAGAGUAAGUGCUGUUCAGAUUUUGAUGUUACAUCAGCAAUAUCAUGUUUUAAUUUAGUUCUAUGAUUAGAACUAGCCACUAGAAGAAGUGGGGAAUAAAAGGUAGAAGUUUUAAGGUUGCCUCCCCGCUAGACAAAGGUUCACAGUAGAAGAAAAAAACUGAUUAGGCCCUAAAAUUGUAUGUUCCAGGAAGCUUCUCCUAGGACUAUAGAAUGGGUAAUUGCAUCAGCGGGUUUGGCAACUCUCUCCGAGGAACUAGCUGACCAUAAAGUUAGAUUAAAAUCUUAGAGAACAAUCUUGAGAAGCAGGAAACUUCUCCCAGGAACUAGCGGACCAUAAAGUUAAACAAUCUUGAGAAACAGGAAGCUCCUCCUUGUGAUUUUUCACUGGUAUUCUCAACAUUUUCCAAUGAUGUCCUUCCUACCCCCUUCUUCCCAAAGCAGUUUUUUAGCAGCAAUAGCCUCUUUACUGGAUACAUUUACCUGCCUCCUCAACUAGGGUCCUUCCCACCCAUCCUGGUGGCACAAAUCAUACGUCUUGGAAGAGAACAGUCCCAUAAGCUCUUUGGUAGGGACCCCGAUGCUUUAAUUUUACCCUAUCGCCCCUCCCAGGUCUCUUGGCUCAGUCAACAUGUAGAUGAAUGGACAAUUAGAUGCAUUGCCUUUCAGGGUAAGAUAAUCAUUACCCCUCAGAUAAGUUGAUACAAUUUUUUCACAAAAUUACAGUCCCAGUGGUCUUUCCAAAGGUAACAUGUGAUCACACUAUGUCGGGAGUCCACCUUGUCUUUACAGACAGCUCCUCUAAUAGACAAGGCACAUUUUCCAUUGAUGGUCAAAUACAACAGUUCUCCACCCCUUUAGAUUCUGUUCAGCUGGUAGAGCUUCAAGCUAUCCUCACAAUAUUUUGUGGAUAUUGCACCCUUUAACCUAUAUACAGAUAGCUCAUAUCUUGCCUUUUCUAUUCCCCUGUUAGGAACAGUACCCUAUAUUUGGCCUACCACCGAUCCUGCCCCCCUGUUUGCCACCUUACAAAAGUAUAUUCAGAGGCGUUCUUGCCCCUUCUUUGUGGGACACAUCCGAGCACAUAUCGAAUUGCCAGGCCCCUUGGCCGAUGGUAAUAAUGACGUUGAUCGCCUCACCCAGCUCGUGGCCUUGGCCCAGGGGGCCUUCUCUAUGUCCCUUACACUUGCCCAAAAAGCACAUUACUUACAUCACUUUAAUGCACAAACCCUUAGGAUUAAAUAUAAGAUCACCGGUGAACAGGCUCGCCAAAUAGUCCGUAAUUGCAAAGGCUGCGUGACCCUACUGCCUGACCCCCACCUAGGGGUCAACCCCCGUGGGCUGAUUCCUGGAGAGCUCUGGCAAAUGGAUCUCACCCAUCUUCCCUCCUUUGGUAAAUUAAAAUAUAUUCAUGUCACCAUUGAUACCCUUAGCGGCUUUAUCUAUGCAUCCCUGCAAACAGGGGAGGCCACCAAACAUGUUAAAUCAUCUUCUGGCUUGCCUCAGAGUUUUACCUCAAACUAAGAUUGUUAAAACAGAUAAUGAACCUGGAUAUACUAGCUCUAAUUUUAAAGACUUUUGUUCCCAACUCGGAAUUAAACAUGUCACAGGCAUUCCUUAUAAUCCUCAGGGACAGGGUAUAGUUGAAAGUGCUCACCAAACCCUUAAAAAUAUGAUCCAUAAAUUAUAGUCAAAUGGGGGAAUAUUAUUCCCCCUCCCCGGUAAUCAAAAAAAUUCAAUAAAUCAUGCACUCUUUGUCCUUAACUACCUUGUCAUGGACAAGGAUGGAAAAACUGCAGCAACCGCCUGUGGCACCCCCAUAAUUCUUAUGAUAAUGCACCAGUCCUAUGGAAGGACCUGUUAACAUCCCAAUGAUAUGGCCCUGAUCUGGUCCUCAUUUGGGGACAUGGAUCAGCCUGCAUUUAUGAUUCAAAGACUGGGGGAACCCGUUGGCUACAUGAGUGCCUUGUUAAGGCCUUUAACCCACCCAGGGGACAACCCUGAGGAAAAGUUUAACUAUGCUUAAUUACAGAUCAUGCUGACCAUGUUUCCCUUCAUCUGGAUCCCUGGAAGCAUCAUCACGUCUGCCCUUGCUACAUCGCCUCACCAGAUCUUCAACUAUACCUGGGUGAUUCUUAAUGGCACCAGAGAUGUGGUGUCUGCCAACUCCACCACCGCUGCACGAGUUCCCUGGCCCAAUCUUGAGUUCCUGCAGUUCUGGGAAAGAGGCACCUCCACGAGUACAAAGAGAGAACCCAUCACUGCUGUGACUCUUGCAGUACUCCUAGGCCUGUCAGCUGUGGGGACAGGAACUGGGGUUGCCUCCCUGAUCACCUCCCAACAGAGUUAUCAUCAGCUCAGUGCCGCCAUAGACAGGGACAUCAGUGAGCUUCAACAAGGAAUAACCUAUCUUAAAGAGUCAGUCGCUUCCUUGGCUGAGGUUCUACAAAAUAGAAGGGGAUUAGAUCUUCUCUUUCUCCAACAGGGAGGGCUCUUUGCAGCCCUCAAGGAGGAGUGUUGCUUUUAUGCUGAUAAGACCGGAUUAGUAGAAAACAGCCUACAAAAAGUUAGAGAAAGUCUACAAAAGAGACAAAGAGAAAGAGAAAAGAAUGAAGCCUGGUAUAAAAAUUGGUUUUCUGCCUCUCCCCUGCUCACCACUCUUCUACAGUAUCCUGGGUCCCUUUAUAGGACUCCUGCUAUUCCUCUUCUUUGGUCGAUGGGUGCUUAGAAAGUUAACUGAUUUUAUCAAGGCCCAGGUGGAUUCAGCUACCAAGCAGGUCUUGGUCCAUUACCACCGCCUCCAUUGUGAGGUGGCUGAGACAACCGGGGAGUAUUUUACUUUGAAACAGGGCCUCAAUAAGUUGGCUCUAUAGGCCAGACUUAUCAACAUUCUUCUUUAUCCUUGCAAGUAGCCAGAAUUGCAAUGUGCCACAAUGCCUGGUUUAACAAUGGUUCUUUAUCACACGGUAGAUCAUACUCAAUAAGAUACAUAUAGCUAUAGGUUAGGGAAUAUAAAAUUUGUAAAAAUUAGUAUAAGAGUAUGGACAAGCUUGUAUGGAAUUGUUGGGUGAUUCAACUGUCUGUUUAAAUCUAAGGGAAUCCUGACUUUUGAUAUAUGUAUAUACAUAUACAUAUACAUAUACAUAUAUAUAUAUAUAUAUAUAUAUAUAUAUAUAUAUAUAUAUUCCUUUGAAACAGGUUCUCACUGUGUAGCCCUAGCUGUUCUGAAACUCACUCUGUGUACUGGGAUACCUUUGAGUUCAACAAUACCCACCUGCUUCUGCCUCCAUAGUACUGGAAUUAAAGACAUGGCCCACCGUACCUAGCCCUGUAUGGACAUUUUCAUGUCUGCUCAUUCAGCAUUAGGAGGCUCACAGAAGCUAUCAAAGUAAGACUGUCCCCCACCCCCAACUGGGAAAAGAAGUAGACAGGUCCAGUGAGAAGACUCAGCAUGUAAAAGUGACUGCUACCAGCCAAUGGCCUGAGUUCAGCCCAAUAGACACUUGGUAGGAGAGAACCAAUCCCCAUAAGUUGUCCUUAGGCACGCGCGCGCGCACACACACACACACACACACACACACACACACACACACACUAAUAAAAACCUUGAAAAAAAAUUUAAAAGGCCUUUAAAGGCCAUAGACCUAUGUUGGGUUGUGCUAUUAGAAUAAAUUCCAACAGUCCUGGAAUCUGCCUCAUCUCUUAACUUUUGACUUCAGAAAUGUAAGUCUGUAAUGACUUCCUUGCUUCGAACAGCCUAGGCAGUUCUCCCCAAUGUGACAAGAAAAUUCCACCCAACACAGGUGGGCGGGGUUUACUAUGUGAAUGCAAGUCAUGACCAGCAGAGGGGAGCACAGACCACACAGCAGGCUUUCCAAGAACAUAACUUUAAAGCAAAAUUAAUACCCUGGGGUCCUCCUUCCUGGCUCAGAGACCGAGUUCUGAACUACGCACAUGCAAUUAACCAUUUAGAACACAGUUUGAAAUUGAAAACCAGGCCCAGCAAUGGAACAAAACAAUUUUCAGACUCAGACUCAUAUCUUCCAGCUUUUGUUUGUUCUGUGUGCCUCCCCUCCUUCUCCAAGCAAGGUUAGAAGCUGACACCCUCCGCGGCAUCCAUGAUGACUAUCACAGAAAAUAGGACUUCGGCCUCACACCCGCAGAGGCAGAAUCAGGUUGUGUAUGACAUUCCUGGGUGAUUCCUGUUCACAGAGAGUCUGAGGGGCUUGGCAGGACCUCUGGACACCUGAUACCCACAACACCUGUUUCCGGUCCCAAUCCUCUCCCAGCCUUGCACCCUGCAACAACACAGGACAAUAUUCUGGCUGGUUUCUGGCUUCAACAGAGGAAGGCUGGCCCCUCUUGGGCUCUGGUGGCAAGAUCUGACAUUUGUUUUGCAGGGGCCUCCCAAGCUCUCCAACCAUUCAGCUAUAUUUGCCUUCCUGUGAUGGCUGAGCAAAGGAACACUGGGACAAGAUGCCCAGUGUGUGUGUGUGUGUGUGUGUGUGUGUGUGUGUGUGUGUGUGUGUAGGGCAAGAGAGAGAGAGGGAGGCGAAGGAGAGGGAGGGAGCGAGAGAGAGGGGGGAGGGAGGGAGGGAGGCAGGGAGAGAGAUAGAGAGAUAGAGAGAGAGAGAGAGAUAUUACCAUCAUAGACAAUAGGUAGUUUGUAUAAACACACAGAUAUGUGGCUUUUUAACAUAAAUUGAUUGCCCUCUGGUGAGUUUGUUAGGUAACUGUUUGAAAGAGUAGAAAGAAAUGUCAGCAUUUUCAGGUGUUAACAAAACACAAAAUGGAAUCUGUUUGGGGCUUUUCUCUAAGAGCUCAAAUCUCUGAAGACCCUUUGCCCAGAGUGAUGUCGCUCCCUAUUCAGCUCCUUGGGUUCUAAAGGAAGUGCUGUUAGUUUCCUGCUGAGUCAGUUUACUGUGGGAAGUAAGUGCUGGGAAUUCCUUCUAGGGUCUCUGUCCUGCAGUUAAGGGACUUGCAGUGUCAGCCCUCCCAGGGUCCUCCUGUGGUCCUUGUCAGUGGCUUUGUGGCAUCCUUUGGGAAGAAAGACUGUGCUUAGCAGUACCAAUGGAUGACUUGGACUGACAGACAAGCUGCCUUGCCCAGGGACACCCAAAGCCCACAAGGAAAGGACAGCUUAGUUUCAGAAGCAGGUGACAGGCAGGGACUGUAAAUUCACCAAUUCACCUGCUGUUCCUUUGCCCCUUCCCCCUGACCCAAGGCUUUGAUCUCCUUUUCCAGGUCAGAAGAGACAGACAGGACACAGAUGGAAAGAAACUGUGGAUCUCCAGCUGCCUGAGAUGUGUUUAUUUCCCAGAUCAACCUCCCCCAAACCUGCCGUUCACUGCAUUCGUUCAUCUGCUACUCUGUCUCAGUUUCUCCCUCCUCUCCCUCCCCCACCCCCUCGGUUUCCUACCCAGUUGCCCUCAGUGUUCUGCUCAGCCUCACUAGGCACUUUCUGGUUUUCUCUCUGCUAAGAAUCAGCUACACUGUUGCUCCCAGGGUCUUCCUUGGUCUGCGUCUUCCACAGUCGGUUUCAGAUUGCCCAGACCCUGGCCCCAAGGAUUCUCUACUCCCUUCUUGUAGCUUAACCCAUGGAGAACUUAGACAAAGAUUCUUUGCUUGGCCAAACUGGUCAGGCACCUGAAUGCCUGCUAGGUCCAUCGGAGAACCUCCUCCAGAAUCCAGUUUGUCAAAGAACUCUGUGGAGUCAUUUUGGCUUACACCCGGUUAUGGGUGCCAUGCCCAGUUCGAGCAUAGACAAAUGGAGAUUGUGAAAAUUUCUGACAUGACGACCUUGGAAGCCAGCAGGCGACGAAGGAGGGACGGGAUGUUUUGGGGUAAGGGCCAAAAAAGGCCUCGGUGAUUUGAGCUAGCAUGAGUAAAACUUGUAAAGAAGAAGGAGGAGAAGGAGGAGGAGGAGAAGGAGGAGAAGGAGGAGGAGGAGGAGGAGAAGGAGAAGAAGGAGGAGAAGGAGAAGGAGGAGGAGGAGAAGGAGAAGAAGGAGGAGGAGGAGAAGGAGAAAAAGAAGAAGAAGACGAAGAAGAAGACGACGUCGAUGACGUAAAGUGGUUUUGCAUAUGUGUUCUUUUAGAGUUAUGUUUUAGUCUUUGGACCCAGACUAGAGAUAGUUUACACCCUAAACAUGAGAGAGAAUGGAUUUGAGAUAAACAGUCCUCCUGGACUCUCUGUGGAUGCUUUGGAGAAAGAGGAGGAAAAUGAGCUUAUGCUUUUUCAGAGAUCUCCUAGGGACAGAGGAAGGCAGGAGACGUCCUAGCACUUUGCUGGCACCUAUUGGAGAAAUGCUUAUUUCUGGUUCUGGGUUCCAUAGGUAGGAUAUCUGGGUCCCUUUGGUGUGACACAAUCUAGUUAUGUCUAUUGUCUGUCCUUGGUGCACCAAGCUGUUCGUGUCUGUCAGUUUAUAUCUGUGGUCUUUGUUUCUCGUUGCUUAAAUAUUUUGUUUCAUGUUUAAAAGAAAAAAUGGUGGGGCUGGAGAGUUGGCUCAGCGGUUAAGAGCACUGACUGCUCUUCCAAAGGUCCUGAGUUCAAUUCCCAGCAACCACAUGGUGGCUCACAACCAUCUAUAAUGAGAUCUGGGGUCAUCUUCUGGCCUGCAGGCACACAUGCAGACAGAAAGUGUAUGGAUGUACAUAAUAAAUAAAUAAAUAUUAAAAAAAAAAGAAAAAA